CCCUCACAAAACAAACAAUCUGAAAUGCUCUGGAUUGAGAGUUUUGCAGCAAGUGCAGCUGGACCCAGGAUGGUCCACCUCAGUGGAGGGAAGGGCAAGAACCACUAACAAGG